AAAUUGAAGAGUUUGAUCAUGGCUCAGAUUGAACGCUGGCGGCAGGCCUAACACAUGCAAGUCGAACGGUAACAGGAAACAGCUUGCUGUUUCGCUGACGAGUGGCGGACGGGUGAGUAAUGUCUGGGAAACUGCCUGAUGGAGGGGGAUAACUACUGGAAACGGUAGCUAAUACCGCAUAACGUCGCAAGACCAAAGAGGGGGACCUUCGGGCCUCUUGCCAUCGGAUGUGCCCAGAUGGGAUUAGCUAGUAGGUGGGGUAACGGCUCACCUAGGCGACGAUCCCUAGCUGGUCUGAGAGGAUGACCAGCCACACUGGAACUGAGACACGG
rnacentral:rRNA from 1 species